rnacentral:rRNA from 1 species
GAUGAACGCUAGCGAUAGGCCUAACACAUGCAAGUCGAGGGGCAUCACAUGAAGUAGCAAUACGGAUGGUGGCGACCGGCGCACGGGUGAGUAACACGUAUGCAACCUGCCUUCAACAAGGGGAUAACCCGUUGAAAGACGGACUAAUACCCUAUAACACAGGGGUCCCGCAUGGGAAUAUUUGUUAAAGGACAACCGGUUGAAGAUGGGCAUGCGUUCCAUUAGCUAGUUGGCGGGGUAACGGCCCACCAAGGCAACGAUGGAUAGGGGAACUGAGAGGUUUAUCCCCCACACUGGUACUGAGACACGGACCAGACUCCUACGGGAGGCAGCAGUGAGGAAUAUUGGUCAAUGGACGCAAGUCUGAACCAGCCACGUCGCGUGAAGGAAGACGGCCCUACGGGUUGUAAACUCUUUUGCAAGGGAAUAAAUGGGCCACGUGUGGCCUUUUGCAAGUACCUUGCGAAUAAGGAUCGGCUAACUCCGUG